ACUCCUACGGGAGGCAGCAGUAGGGAAUCUUCCACAAUGGGCGCAAGCCUGAUGGAGCAACACCGCGUGAGUGAAGAAGGGUUUCGGCUCGUAAAGCUCUGUUGUUAAAGAAGAACACGUAUGAGAGUAACUGUUCAUACGUUGACGGUAUUUAACCAGAAAGUCACGGCUAACUACGUGCCAGCAGCCGCGGUAAUACGUAGGUGGCAAGCGUUAUCCGGAUUUAUUGGGCGUAAAGAGAGUGCAGGCGGUUUUCUAAGUCUGAUGUGAAAGCCUUCGGCUUAACCGGAGAAGUGCAUCGGAAACUGGAUAACUUGAGUGCAGAAGAGGGUAGUGGAACUCCGAUGUGUAGCGGUGGAAUGCGUAGAUAUAUGGAAGAACACCAGUGGCGAAGGCGGCUACCUGGUCUGCAACUGACGCUGAGACUCGAAAGCAUGGGUAGCGAACAGGAUUAGAUACCCUGGUAGGAUAGCG
rnacentral:rRNA from 1 species